rfam:Glomerella graminicola M1.001 genomic scaffold supercont1.7, whole genome shotgun sequence.
AAUGCGGCAUCUCCUGCCAGGCGUCUGUUACAAACCAGGUUCUAACAAAUAAUGAUGUGGUGGCUUUUUUGGGUCUUGUAAUUGGAAUGAGAACAAUGAACAAUUCAAAUCCCUUAAUGAGGAAUAAUUGGAUGGCAAGUCUGUUGCCAGCAGCCGAGGUAAUUCCAGCUGCAAUGGCGGAUGUCAAAGUUGUUGUGGUUAACAAGCCUAUAGUGAAAUCUUCAGUAGUCAGACUACAAGCGGCAUUGUCGGAACAUGAUUGACCGCCAAGCGCCAUGUUCACGGGAGCACUC